CAGCAGCCCGAGUGGUGGUCGUUUUUAUUGGGCCUAAAGCGUCCGUAGCCGGUCUAGUAAAUCCUUGGAUAAAUCGUACAGCUUAACUGUACGGCUCCCGGGGAGACUGCUAGACUUGGGACUGGGAGAGGUCGGAGGUACUCCAGGGGUAGGGGUGAAAUCUUGUAAUCCUUGGGGGACCACCAGUGGCGAAGGCGUCCGACCAGAACGGGUCCGACGGUAAGGGACGAAGCCCUGGGUCGCGAACCGGAUUAGAGACCCGUGUAGUCC
rnacentral:rRNA from 1 species